UCAAAUAAGCUGGUGAUCAGG
rnacentral:piRNA from 1 species